AGCGAACGCUGGCGGCAGGCCUAACACAUGCAAGUCGAGCGCUCGUAGCAAUACGGGAGCGGCAGACGGGUGAGUAACACGUGGGAACGUACCCUUCGGUUCGGAAUAACUCAGGGAAACUUGAGCUAAUACCGGAUACGUCCGAGAGGAGAAAGAUUUAUCGCCGAGGGAUCGGCCCGCGUCUGAUUAGCUUGUUGGUGAGGUAACGGCUCACCAAGGCGACGAUCAGAGCUGGUCUGAGAGGAUGAUCAGCCACAUUGGGACUGAGACACGGCCCAAACUCCUACGGGAGGCAGCAGUGGGGAAUAUUGGACAAUGGGCGCAAGCCUGAUCCAGCCAUGCCGCGUGAGUGAUGAAGGCCCUAGGGUUGUAAAGCUCUUUUACCUGGGAAGAUAAAUGACUGUACCGGGAGAAUAAGCCCCGGCUAACUUCGUGCCAGCAGCCGCAGUAAC
rnacentral:rRNA from 1 species